rnacentral:rRNA from 1 species
AUACGGGGGGUGCAAGCGUUAAUCGGAAUUACUGGGCGUAAAGCGCGCGUAGGCGGUUUGCUCAGUCGGAUGCGAAAGCCCAGGGCUCAACCUUGGAACUGCAUACGAUACUGGCAAACUAGAGUGUGAGAGAGGAUAGUGGAAUUUCCGGUGUAGCGGUGAAAUGCGUAGAUAUCGGAAGGAACAUCAGUGGCGAAGGCGACUGUCUGGCUCAACACUGACGCUGAGGUGCGAAAGCGUGGGUAGCGAACAGGAUUAGAAACCCUGGUAGUCC